CAGUCGCCGCGGUAAUACAGAGGGUGCAAGCGUUAAUCGGAAUUACUGGGCGUAAAGCGUGCGCAGGCGGUUAUAUAAGACAGAUGUGAAAUCCCCGGGCUCAACCUGGGAACUGCAUUUGUGACUGUAUAGCUAGAGUACGGCAGAGGGGGAUGGAAUUCCGCGUGUAGCAGUGAAAUGCGUAGAUAUGCGGAGGAACACCGAUGGCGAAGGCAAUCCCCUGGGCCUGUACUGACGCUCAUGCACGAAAGCGUGGGGAGCAAACAGGAUUAGAUACCCCUGUAGUCCCUGUCUCUUAUAC
rnacentral:rRNA from 1 species